AAACAGUGUUUCAUCAAAAUUUUUGGAAAGUCAACAUUUUCUAAAACUUUUUAGGUAUAAAAUAUAAUUAUGAAAGUUUUGACCAAAAUAAAAAUAAAAAGCCAGUAGGCAACAAAUUGGACCAUAAUUUUCACUGUAUUAGAUAAGUCAAAACUGUUCAGGACAAAGAAAUAUAACAGACUCAGAACACUUUGAAUAUUAACAAAACUUUUUCUUGAACACAAUAUCUAUUGAAAUCAUAUUAAGGAAAGAGAAAAUACCACAACAUUUAAAAGUGUCAAUAAUGGUUUAAUAUAGAGCAUGAAUGCAAAGGGAAUAGACAGCCUGUGCAAACAUAAGCUUAUCAUUUUCUUCAUAUAUCAAACAAUACACAUUCUGUAGAAUAAGUACUUGGUUGAUACAUACAGGUUAAACAUGUGCAUAACUACACAAUCAAGAAAAUCUUACCACUUCUGUCAAUACACUCUAUGCGAAGCGGCAAUAAGAUCACACUUAACAAUCUCCAGAAGAAAAUGAGAGAGAAUGAAACACCAAAAGCAAUAGGUCAGGAAAGAAGCAGAGUUGUGAGUGGGAGAGGAGGCCAUUAUGAGUAUCAGUAAGUAUAACAAAAUACAUCUGAAAUCUAUAAGCUGCUCAACACAUAUAUUUGGAAUCACAGAAAUGAAACUAAUUAUUUCCCGGGCAUUUCAAAUACCAAAAAGUAUUCUCAAAGCUCCAUUUCUCCCCUUUGCCUUGGUACAAAGUGUCUUUUCUAUCCAUGUCUUCCUGUAGAAGGUUUCAAGUUUGAUUUUUUAUAUGUAUAUCAACAGAAGCCUUAAAUAUUAACUUCAGACCUCAAUUAUUACUAAAUCAUAAUCAGAGUUUAAUGGAAUAACCCUUAUGAAAAAAUAAGGCUUAUUCUGCAUCGAUUAUUUCAAAGAAAUAAACAUGGUAAAGGGAGGCAUAGUGUCACCAACUUUGUAAGUGGUGAAAAUACACAGACAUCUAAGCUGAACAAUUAAAGGAAAUCCAACAGAGUAUUAAAGUUAAUAGGGAAGAAUCAAUAGGAAAUGGUGAUAUGAUAGGAAUUGAAGUUGACACUUCUAAAUCAGAUAGAUAAAGUGGAUAUUUUGUUCAGUCGAUAUACCAGCACGGCUUUGUGUCAGAAUUACAUGUUGGUUAGAUAUUUUAAUGAAUCAAAUACUGGUUGAGCUGAAGGCCAGUCAUCAACCUGGCAUAAUAUUUAAGGUCCUCACAGUAUGUUACAACAUUGGUAAUAUUUAUACAAAUAGAGAAAUAAUCUAAGAACAGUUUAUCUUGAUUAUAUUGUCACCAGUAAGAAAGAGUUGAUUGAUGAUCAGUCACUACAAAGAAACAAAUAGGAGGAAAAUGUAGUAGGCUAAGCUGCUAAAAAAGAGUACAAAGAAAUAUUUUUAAGUAUUCAAGUGAAAAAAAUCAAACAAUUUUAAAAAAUAAACUUCAGUCAUAAGAACUGUGUAAAACUAAAACAUUAUGCAAUUAUAAUCAACUCUAUUGAUUAUGUGAUUAUCCAUUUUGCAGAUACCAGAACCAAGACUUCCUAGCUGGACUAAGCAAUUGAUUAAACUCGCUACCUGCCGCCUUCUGCUCUUGCCACCCUCCAUACCCAAAGAAGAAAGAAAGGAAACAAACCUUGUGGACUAUCCACAGGAUAACACAAGAAGGUAGUGCUCAACCACUGCUUCAAAAAUCAUUUCUUAACCUACAUGAAUAUUGCAUAAUUUAAACAUCUCCAUGCAUGCAAAUCGGUUUUGCUAGAUGAUAAGCAUCCUGAGAAGUUGAGCAUCUGCAAUUAGCAGCUGUUAUCUUUAAAUGAUUUUACUGAGGUGAAAUUCACAACACAUAAAACAAUCCAUUUCAAAGUGAAUAUUUUUGUCAUUUAAUAUAUUCACAAUGAUAUACAAUCACCAUCUCUAUCUCAUUCCAGAAUAUUUCCAUCACUCCAAAGUAAAGACUCUUACCCAUUUAAGCAUCUUCUCCCUAUUCCUCCCUCUCUCAAGCUACUGGAAAUCACCAAUCCGUAUUCUGUCUCUUUGAAUUUACCUAUUCUGGAUAUUUCCUAUAAAUAGGGUCAUACAAUAUGUGACCUUUUGCAUCUGGCUUCUUUCACUUGGCACAAUGUCUUGGAGGUUCAUCCAUGUUAUUCCAUAUAUCAGUAAUUUAUUCAAUUUUAUGACUGAAUAAUAUCCCAUUGUAUGUAUAUACCACAAUUUGUUUAUCCAUUCAUUAGUUGAGAAAAAUUUGGGUUGUUUUCACCUGUUGGCCAUUUUGAAUAGUGCUGCUAUAAAAUGUGUGACCAUGUACCUUUCUGAGUAUCUGUUUUUAAUUCUUUUGGGUACAUAUCUAGGAGUGGAAUUGAAGGGUCAUGUGGGAUUUCUGUUUUUAACUUUUUGAGAAACCAUUGAAUUGUUUUUCAUAGCAACUGAAUAAUUUUACAUUCCCACCAGCAUUAUACAACGGCUUUAAUUUUUUCACAUCCUUGCCAACACUGUGUGCAUGUGUGUGUGUCUGUGUGUUUACAACCUAAUGUGUAUGAAGUCAUCCCUCACUGUGGUUUUGCUAUGCAUUUCCCUAAUGACUACUGAUAUGAGCAUCUUUUUAAGUGUUUGAUAGUCAUUUGUAUAGUUUCUGCGGUGAAAUUUCUAUUCAAGUCUUUUACCCUCUUUUUAAUUAGGUGGUUUGUCUUUUGUUGAACUGUGUUCUUUAUAUAGUAUGAAUAUUAGACUUUUAUCAGAGAUAUGAUUCACAAAUAUUUUCUCCUCCAUUCUAGAUUGUCAUUUUACUUCUUUGAUAACAUUUUUGGUACAUACAAGCUUUUAAUUUUGAUGAAAUCCAAUUUAUCCAUAUUUAUGUUAUUGAUAUCAUAACUAAGAAUUCGUUGCCAAAUCCAGGGUUAUGAAGAUUUACCCCAUGAUUUCUUCCAAAAGUGUUAAUAUUCAUGCUUAUAUUUAUGUUUUCAGUCCAUUUGGGGUUAAUUUUUAUAUAUGGCAUAAGGUAGAGAUUCAACUUAUUUUGCAUUUGAAAAUCCAGUUGAAAUUACAUAUGAGCUUGAGAAUUGGCAUUUCCAUUUCUGCAAAAAGAAAAAAAGACUAUUGGCAUCAUAAUAAGGAUAGCAUUCUGCAUUGAAACUGUAAAUCACUUUGGGUAGUAUUCAUAUCUCAACAUUACUUUUACCCUUCUAUGAACACAGACGUCUUUCCUUUUGUUUGUCUUAUUUAAUUUCUUUCACCAAUAGCUUUCAAUAUAUUAGCUAAUUUAAUUUCUAGUUAUUCUUAUUCUUUGGAAUGUUACUAUAAAUGAAAUUGUUUUUGUAAUUUUAUUUUUAGAUUACUUGUUCCUGCUAUAUAGAAACAAAACUGAUGUUUUCUGUGUUGCUUUUGUAAUCUCUAACUUUGCCAAAUUUGAUUAUUUGCUCCAGAAUCUUGUGUGCGGGUAUGCACACUCACAAACGUGUGCCUAUUCUUCAAGAUUUUCUAUAUAUAUGAUCAUACCUGCAAACAAACAAUUUUACUUCUUCCUAAUUUGGAUACAUUUUAUUUCUUUUUCUUGCCUAGUUGUUCUGGUUAGAACUUACAGUACAAUGUUGAAUAGCCAUGGUCAGGAUGGGCAUCCUUAUCUUGUUCCUGAUACAGUCUUUCACUAUCGAGAAUAAUGUUAGCUAUAGGCUUUUCAUAAAUGUCUGUGUUUAAGCUUUUAUAGGAACAAAUAUAACAGCUUGCAAAUAAAAAGAUGCCUGUGUUCAAGCUUGAAAACUCUCUAACAGUUUAAGCUGUUACAACAAAUUACCAUAGACUGGAAGGCUUAUAAACAACAAAAAUUUAUUUCUCACACUUCUGAGGGCUGGGAAGUCCAAGAUAAAGGUGCUAGCAGAUUUGGUGUCUGGUGAGCUGUUUCCUGAUUCAAGGAUAGCCAUCUUCUCCCUAUGUUCUCACGUGGUUGAAAGGGCAAGGGAACUCUCCUCCAGGGUCUCUUAUAAUAAAGACACUGAUGUCCUUCAUGAGGGAUCUGUCGUCAUGACCUAAUUAAUCUCUACCAAAAUCCCACCUCCUAAUCACAUUGGGAAUUAGAAUUUCAAUAUAUAAAUUUUGGGGGACAAGUAUUCAGCCAAUAGCAACGUCUUUCAUCAUGUUAUGGAAGUUCCUUCUAUUUCUUUUUCUUUUCUUUUCUUUUAAGACAGGGUCUCAGUCUGUCACCCAGACUGGAGUACAGUGGUGCAAUUAUAGCUCAUUGUUACCUCGAACUCCUGGCCUCUGGCCUCAAGUGAUCCUCCCACUUCAGCUUCCUGAGUAGCUAGGACUACAGGUGUAUGUCCCUAUGACUGGUAUGUGUGUAUAUAUAUAUAUAUAUGAUAUAUAUAGUAUAUACAGGGUCUUGCUAUGUUUCCCAGGCUAGUCUUGAGCUGCUGACCUGAAGCAAUCCUCCUGCUCAGUCUUUCUAAGUACUGAGAUUAUAGUCAUGAGCCACUGCAUCCAACCACCUAAUUUUUCAUGAGCUUUUUUCUUUAUCAUAAUAGGAUGUUGGACUUUGUCAAAUUAUUUUAGAAGAUGUUAUUUUUGAGAAAUUAUAUAUUUUUUAAAAAAACAUUGACUAAGAAAAACUAUCUGAAAAGCUAUAAUGAUAAUCUAGUUCUUGUAACUUAAAAAAAUGUAUGUGUAGAGAAUUGCAUGGCAAUCAUGAGCCAGUAAGCUCAAACUCUGAGAAGAUAAUAGAAUAAAUCAUCUAAUAAUCAAUUUGUAAUUAUCUAGCAGAAUAUAAGUUAGUAGAUAGCAAAUUAUAUGAAUUUAGGAAGUACAAAUAAAAUCUGAACAAAUUUAAUUUUUUCUAUGAGACAGGAAAAAGUUAUAUAAAGAGGCUAGAUUAGUUAAUAUUAGAUAAUCUUGUGUUUGAGUAAUGCUGUUUUUUUUUUUAGUUCAUAGAAUUGCCAUUUAUAAGCCAGAACCAAAUAGCAUUAGUUUAGAAGAGAUUUCUACUGAAGGCAAUAUCAAAUUUUAAGUGUCAUUGGUACAUAAGAGAAACUCAGCAUGUUUGUACAUAUUAAAGGAGAUGUAAAUAAUUUCCAUUUUGGGUAGUUACAAAUAAAGCUGAUGUAAACAUUUCUGUACAAAUUUUUAUAUGAUGAUGUUUUUCUUUCUCUUGAGUAAAUAUCUGAUGUAUUGGUUUUCCUUUGCCACUACAGCAAAUUACAACAAAUUUGUGGUGUUAAACAACACCUAUUUAUUAUCUCAUUAUUUUAUAAGUGCAAAUUUUACGCACGGAGUCUCUCAACUGACUUGUCUGCUUAGAAUCUCAGAAGGUUGAAAUCAAGGUGUCAGCAGAACUGCACUGCUCACAAGACUAUGGAAUAUUUGUUGUCAAACACAUUCAGGAUGUUGGCAGAAAUCAGUCCACUCUCCCUCUUUUCAUGCAGUCCCCUCCAUUUUCAAACUAGCAAGGUUCAUUGAGUCCUCAUGCUUUGAGUCUACCUAAUUUUCUCUUCCUUCAGCCACAAUAAAGCUCCACAUGUAACAGAUCAUAUGAUUAUAUUGCUCUCCUGAAUAGUUUAGAAUUAUCUCCCUAUUUUAAAUAAAUUGAUUAGUAAAACUUAGUUAGAUCUGCAAGGUCCAAUUUACCACAUAAAGUAACAUUCCAGAGUGUAAUACCAGAAGAUAAAGUUUAUGGGGGCCAAAAUUCUGUCUACAUGACUUGGGCCAUGAUAAUUGCAUGUGUAACUUACUGAAAAACAAAAACAAAAAACAGAGAACACUGGAUAGCUGUUGUCUGUCUUGCACAGUUUUUGCCAAGCGAUCUGCUGUAAUUAAUUUUUGCUCCUUUACAACUAGUGUGUCUUUUUUUUAUUGUCUUCACAAUUUUUCUCUUAAUUUCUGCUUUGUACUAAAUGUUUUCUAUUAACUGUCACCACUACCUUAUCAGUUUGAGUAUAAUGUGUCUGCAUGUAUGUUUUCUUUUUUAAAAAACUAUUUUCUGUUUGUUUUGGCUUGGUUUGCUUUUCAUUCUGUGUGAAGUUCUCUUAGCUGGAAUUUUGCAUUUCAUGUCCCUUUCAUUAUUUUAGAAAUCCUCAGCCAUGGUCUUUUCAAAUAUCUUUUAUCUUCUUGUUUCUCUCUCUUCUUCCUGUAAUUCCACUUAGGCACAUGUUCACAUUUCAUAUUAUUCUGCAUCUCCUGAUGGUCUACUCUGUCUUCUUUUUUUUUUCCUCUUCUCUUUCUGUUUUAAUUUAUAUAAUUCUUAUUGACCUAUAUACAAUUUUAUCAAUUAUUUCCUUGGUUCUGUUGAAUUUAAUCAUGAGCCCCUCAACAUCACACUUUAUCUCUCUUACUAUGUUUUUACUUUAAUUCUAGAAUGUUACUCAUUGUUUUUUCUUUUUUUUUUUUUUUUUUUUUUGUCUUGGCUGAAAUACCCAUCAGUCUCUUAAGGCAUUUUGUCUUUUCUUUUAGGGGCUUAAAAAUAUUACUCAGAAAGCAUUUUUUAAUUCCUUAACUUACAGUUUCAAUAUCUGGGUCAUCUCUGAAUCUUCUGUUGAAUGCUUUGUUUCUUGUAUGUUUGGCUUUUCUUCUGUCUUGUGUACCACAUAAUUUUUCACUGUAUGUCAGACAUAGUACAUAGAACAACAGAGACAAAGGAAAGAAGUAUUUGUGAUGAAAUGGGCAUACCUUUUUCUCUACUAUGACUUUAAUCUGGGAGGUGAGUUAUUGCCAGGAAGUAUGCAUUAUUUGGGUAUUGUUUUGCCAUAGAUACUUAUAGUGAAUCAUCAGCUCUAAAUUCCCCCAGUAGUACUUUGUAUUUAGGGUUUUGGUUGAAUUAUCAGGGAGCUUCCCUUUAUGGUCCAGCUCCACUCGCAGCUUUAUCCCUUCACUGUGCUUUUGCAUCUCAUGGAGAGUGUCUCUCCAUGUGCAUUAUCUUACCCCACUGAUUACUUAUUUCUUGUUACUUACCCUCACUGGCAUAGUAGUGGAAGGUAAGUAACUUAUCUCUUUUUCCGAUUCAGCCUCAUUUUUAUGUAGGGCCUUCAUCCCUGGUACUCAGGUAUGGGAUUUUCUCAGUUACUCUAAUUUUCCUCCUGUGAUAGAUUUAUAAUGGUCCUAACCCAUCUCUUAGUGACUUACUUCUGUUAUUUAUGAAAUGUUGGAUUGGGUAUAUCUCUGUGGGUUUUUUUGUUUUGUUUUUUGUUUUAUUUUGUUUUUUCCUGUGGUAGCUUCCCUUCUCCAAGGCUUAUCUACUAAAAAAUGCUCUCCUGGCCACCCUCAGUAUUUCUCAUGCCCACUCAGGAAGGUUGUAAAGUUGAGCUUGCCAUGUAUGCUGCUCUCAGUGUUCCAUACUUGCAUGUGAGACUCCACUCAGAUGUUAGCAAUGUGUUAAAAUUGUAGCGGACUUGUUUUUAUCUGUUUUUAGGCUUGCCUUGUCUACUCCUGCCUACUAACAUGGGUGUUAGUACUUGUGCCCUAUCUUUCUUUAAAUUUCAUGCUGGCUUUUUCUGUGACUUCAACUCUUUGGAUUCAAGAAAAAAUAAUUUUAUAUAUUACCUAGUUUUCUCUCAUUGCUAUGGUGGGAAUAACACUCUUCAGUUUUCUAUGUAUUUAGAAGAGGCCUAAAGCCAAUUAUUGUGUAUAUACACAUACAUAUAUAUAUAUAAAAUGAAUGAUCAUAUGAUCAUAUGUUUGGAUAAAUAGGUCCUUGAAAACAAGGACUGUGUUUUUAUUUACAUUCUUUUUGUAUACAUUGUCUUUGUCCAGAGAGUACCACAUCUCAAGACCACAAGAUGGCUUCCAGAGGCAAUGGGGAAUCAAGCUUCAUUACCAUAUUUUACAGGAAAGAUGUUCCAUAAUGUCAUCUCUAGACUAAGCAAAUUCAACGUAAAUAAAAGCUCGAGGGCCUUCUGGCAAGGACUAAGUGACCACCCUUCAAGACUUCAGUCUGUCAAUCAAAUCUUAGGAAAACUUGUCCUUAAGAAAGAGGAGAACUUAAAAAGGAAAUAAAAGAAAACUUGAAAAGAAAAAAGAAGAAAGGGGAAAAGUGGAGCUUGAAGGACAUUAUUGACUCAGUAUACAGAUCAGUAAAAAGAAAUGAAAUAGAAAAAUAUAAAAUAAAUAAAAUAAUUUGAAGAGCCAAAAAUGAAAUAAAGUUCUUGGGCUGAUUUUAACCCACUAUGCUGAAUAUUUUAUGAUUUAUAUAUACUGUGAUUUUUAUUAUCAGGUUGCCUACUACAGGUAGCAUUACUGACCAAGAACUCUUGCUGCUACACUUUGAAUUUCAUCUUUGUGUUUUGCACUGAGAACAGUUAUUCUAGACAGACCAUUCCUUAGAAACAUGAGCCUCUUUUUGGACUGAAUUUCACUUAAGAACUGUCCACUGGUGUUGCCAAACCUUUCAUAUACUGGAAGGCCAUCUAAGAUGCUUCAUCCAACAUUUUCUUUCUUUUCCCUUCACUCAGAGUUAGGCUGCAUUGCAGUCUGACAGCUUUCCCCAACUUUCCUGGCUACCUACUUAUAUGCUUUUACUUAUACAUUUUCCCUUAUGUAAUCCUUAUAUGUUUAUCCUGUCUUGAUAUUUUGUAUUAGUCCAUUCUCACACUGCUAUAAAGCCCACAACUGGGUGGUUUAUACAGGAAAGAGGUUUAAUUAACUCACAGUUCCAUGUGGCUUGGGAAGCCUCGGGAAACUUACAAUCAUGAUGGAAGGUAAAGGGGAAGGAAGAACCUUCACACGGUGGCAGGAGAGAGAAGUAACAACAGGGGAAAUGCCAGACACUUAUAAAACCAUCAAAUCUCGUGAGAAUUCACUCACUAUCACAAGAACAGCAUAGGGGAAACCAUCCCCAUAAUCCAGCCUCCCUCCAGACCUCUCCCUCAACAUCUGGGAAUUACAAUUCAAGAUGAGAUUUGGGUGGGGACACAAAGCCUACCUCUAUCAUAUUUGUUUCUCAAAGACUAACACAAAUUUGUCUUUCACUUAAUUACUAUAUUAUCUAUGUAUUAUUUUAAAAUUUGCCAUUUCAAAUCGGGAAUAGGAUAUGUUAGCAUAAAUAACAUUGUUUUGUGACUGGUCUGUUUUCUGAGUAGAAAGUCAGAUACCUUGUCAGUCACAGGUUAUUUUCAAAUAUUUUUUUUCAGCACCUACAACAGUGAGAAUACUUCGUUUGAGAGCCUGGACUUUAAAGAUAGUAUAGCCCAUCUCCAGAAAGUUAACCACCUAUACCCCAAAACACUUCUCUUAACAAUAUGAAGAGUUUCAUAUCAAUAUCCCUAUGCUUUUAUCAACAAAAGGAAAAAAUAUGUGGGGAAAAAUUUGUUCUAAAGAGAAAACACUAUAAAAAGAUUUUUUUAUUUCUAGGAAAAUUCAAUAUCUAGAAAUAACUAAAAAGUCAAGAAAUAAUAUCUAUGAUCUCCAAUGUAAAUAACUCACUUCUUGGCCUCUCAGUCUAUAUUGUGAGUCAAGAAAUAUAAAUAUGAAUAAUCAUAAUUAUUUAAAAAGUUAUAUUGGCUGUCUGCUAUAUUUAAAGCACUGAAUAAAAGCAGCCAUUUAAAAAAUGGCCCAGAAUCCUACUCUAAAGAGCUCUCAGUCCAAUAGGGGAAACACAAACAUAUAUUAUUUUAUUAUGUUACAUUUUAUAUAAGUUUGUCGUUUAUCAAAGUGUUGUGGGAAGACAGAGGCAUUAAUCAUUAAUUCAGACAUGAAGAGUUAAAGAUAGUUUGACAAAUAAGUUUAUAUUUCAGCUAAGCCUUAAAGGAAAAGAAGAGGUUUACUAGGUGGUAAGUAACAUUAAAAUUCUAAAGCAAAUCAAAAAGUUUAAUGAUAAAAAAGACAGCCUAUAAAAAUCAACAACUGGAUUAUAAAUUCACUUUAUCAUAAGAGACUUGGGCAAACUUUUAUACAUGUUCUAUAUAAAUUAUAUUAAAAACAAGAAAGAGAAUUACUCAUAAUAUAUAAAGUUAAUAUAAAUAAAUGAGAGGAGCAAUUAUAAAUUAUAAAAAUAAUAUAUUGACAUAAUUUAAAGAAAAAUGAAGUAUGGUAGAAUUCUAGGCAGGGCUAGAAAUUGUCCAAAAAAAUAGUGAAUUGAAGACUACACUAAGAAAUUAACUUAGAACACAUAACAGAAAGUCAAAAAGUUGGUAAAUUUAUGUGUAUAUAUAAUUCAUGUCUUAUAUGUAACAGCAGUUAUAAGACAGAAGAAAGGAAUAGAGAAAAUGUUUUAAAAGAAAGCAAAAUUUAAAGAGAAUUUUCUCUAAAAAACUGAAGACUUUUUAAAUUGAAGAAAGGAAUAAUAGUAUUCUUACAUGAAAUGUGUAUUCUGAGUUUAGUUCAAAUAACAUAGCACUCACAUACACCCCCCCAAUCCUGAAAACAAUCAGAAAAGGAAAUUUUUAAAAUAAGAAUGAAAAACAAAUAAAACAAAACAAAAUAAGCCAAACACUGUUCUGAAGAUUUGGACAGCUAUCAAGGAAGUCAGAGUUCAGAGGCUAAGAUACCAGAGAGAAGGGAAACUCAUUGAGAUGAGCCUACAAUUCUAGGCAGCAUUUAAAAAGGCAAUUAAGGAUUCCUAAAUAGUGUGCACUGAGAGACAAAGAAGCUGAGCAGUAAUGUGACAACCAGCUGCACAGCUCCAGUCUCUUCAAGAGAAAGGGGAAGAAAAUUAGAAUUUAGAAUCCACUAAGAAGGAAGGGCUCUCUCAAUCAACUCAGAAUUUCUGUUUAGAAUUCUGAAAAAUUACUCUCUAUGACUAAAGUAAAUAAGAAAUAAGCAGGCAAUAAAGAAUGAAAGCAAACCUUGAAACAGCACAAUUCAUGGUUAAAUUGAGGUGAUGUCGUUUUAUUCGGAAUGCUCGAUAGAAGCUAAGGUAACUACCCAUUUGAAGGAAGAUAAGAACUUACAGAAUUUCUGGAAUGUAUCAAACACAAUGCUCAGCAUCAUUCAAAAAUUGCCAGUAAUACCAGAAGACAGCAACAGGAGAGAAAAAAAUCAAACGAUAGAAUAAAACUCUCAGUGAUUUAGAUAUUGAGAGAUAGGCCUUUAACAUAUGAAUAUGUUCAAGAUUUAAAAAGAACUGAUUAACAUCUUAAAGAUAAAAAGAUGAAAAAAUUAACUCUGUACAAAAUCAAAUGGAAAUACUAGAAGUAAAAAUAUGUAACUAAUAUUAAAAACUUAAUAAAUGAAGAAAAGAUUUGUGAGCUAAAAUAAAUAUCAGUAGAAAAUAUCCAAACUGAAAUAAACAUGAACAAAAAUAAAAAAUGUAAAAAAGAGAAUAAGGAAAAAUUAGGGACUGUUGAAAUGUUCUAAAAUACUAUAAUUUAGUUCCAAGAUGAUGAAAUAAAAGGAAUGAAGAAGUAAUAUUUAAAGAAAUAAUAGACAAGAAUUUUCCAAAACUAAUAAAAUUUUUUUCGUAUAUUUAUGAAGCUCUAGAAAACUCAGUCAAGAUAAAUGGAAACAAAACUAUACCAAGGAUCUGAAAACCAAAGACAAAGAGAAAAAUCUUAAAAGUAGUCAAAGAGUUUCAAAAAGAGUAAUGAUAAGAUCAAAAGAUAUAAUGAAAGCAUAUGGAUAAUUAAUCUGACCAAGCCAUCUUUCUUUCUUUAACGUGCCAUCUUCCAGUAUAGGGAGAGAAACUAUUAGCACUUUCUUUCCU
rnacentral:lncRNA from 10 species